GAGGGUGCAAGCGUUAAUCGGAAUAACUGGGCGUAAAGCGCACGCAGGCGGUUAGAUAAGUCAGAUGUGAAAUCCCCGGGCUCAACCUGGGAACUGCAUUUGAAACUGUCUGACUAGAGUCUUGUAGAGGGGGGUAGAAUUCCAGGUGUAGCGGUGAAAUGCGUAGAGAUCUGGAGGAAUACCGGUGGCGAAGGCGGCCCCCUGGACAAAGACUGACGCUAAGGUGCGAAAGCGUGGGGAGCAAACAGGA
rnacentral:rRNA from 1 species